rnacentral:rRNA from 1 species
GACGAACGCUGGCGGCGUGCUUAACACAUGCAAGUCGAACGAGGCCCCUCCUUCGGGAGGGUGUCCUAGUGGCGAACGGGUGAGUAACACGUGGGCAACCUGCCCCCGGCUCUGGGAUAACCCCAAGAAAUUGGGGCUAAUACCGGCUAUGACCGCUGACCGCAUGGUCUGGUGGUGGAAAGAUUUAGCGGCUGGGGAUGGGCCCGCGGCCUAUCAGCUUGUUGGUGGGGUAGUGGCCUACCAAGGCGACGACGGGUAGCCGGCCUGAGAGGGUGACCGGCCACACUGGGACUGAGACACGGCCCAGACUCCUACGGGAGGCAGCAGUGGGGAAUAUUGCGCAAUGGGCGGAAGCCUGACGCAGCGACGCCGCGUGAGGGAUGACGGCCUUCGGGUUGUAAACCUCUUUCAGCAGGGACGAAGCGCAAGUGACGGUACCUGCAGAAGAAGCACCGGCCAACUACGUGCCAGCCGCCGCGUAAAAC